rnacentral:rRNA from 1 species
CACGGGUGCGUAACACGUGGGUCAUCUGCCCUUCGAAGGGGAAUAACUCGCCGAAAGGCGAGCUAAUUCCGCAUAACAUUCCGAGAACCUUGGUUUUUGGAUUCAAAGGCGUAAGUCGUCGGAGGAGGAGCCCGCGCACGAUUAGCUAGUUGGUAGGGUAACGGCCUACCAAGGCUAUGAUCGUUAGCUGGUCUGAGAGGAUGGCCAGCCACACUGGAACUGAGACACGGUCCAGACUCCUACGGGAGGCAGCACUGGGGAAUCUUGC